rnacentral:rRNA from 1 species
CCUACGGGGGGCAUCAGUGGGGAAUAUUGCACAAUGGGCGCAAGCCUGAUGCAGCGACGCCGCGUGGAGGAUGAAGGCUUUCGAGUUGUAAACUCCUGUUAAGUGGGAAGAAAGACUGUUGACUAAUAAUCAGCAGGGAUGACGGUACCACUAGAGAAAGCACCGGCAAACUUCGUGCCAGCAGCCGCGGUAAUACGAAGGGUGCAAGCGUUAUUCGGAGUUACUGGGCGUAAAGAGUAUGUAGGCGGUUUGUUAAGUUAGUUGUUAAAGACCAUGGCUCAACCGUGGAAAGGCGGCUGAUACUGAUGAGCUAGAGCGCAGAAGAGAGGAGUGGAAUUCCCGGAGUAGCGGUAAAAUGCGUAGAUCUCGGGAGGAACACCGGUUGCGAAGGCGGCUUCUUGGUCUGUGGCUGACGCUAAAGUGCGAAAGCGUGGGGAGCAAACA